rnacentral:tRNA from 1 species
CUCGGCUCGCUUGGUAGUAGAACGCCUCAUUUGCAAUGAGGAGGUAAGCGGUUGGAGCCCGCUCGGGUCCA